AUGCCCUUGUAGUUUCGAAACACAACAUAUACUUUAAACCCCCACGUCUGAGAUUUUUGCAGAAGUUGGCAUGGUGCAGGGUGCUUAAAGGUGGAUGGGAAUGUCUCUUGCGCAGGCGCCGUUCACGUAUAGUGGGAGUGAGAGGCGCCGCUGGUCAGGUCGUGGACAAAGCAGCGGCUGUAACAAGCAGGUCCUGUGUUUCCAGGCUUCCUCCUGGAGGAGCUGUGCAGCUGGCAUCAGCAGAAGCAGCACGUGAGAGCACAGCAGGCCCUGGAGAGAAGGUAGAGAAGAAGACUUUGCUGGUAUUCCUCCAGUGAUGAGAGAGUGGCCAGUUCAGACUACUGUGGGAGAAGCGGCUUCCAUAACUUGCAUCAAUGCUUUGUUGACGUUCUUUUAAUCCUGCCAAGUGAAUUGUCUUACAGAAUAAGCGAACACUGUUACAGAGAGAAGCUUACAGAAUGUAUCUCUGCCUGCUGCACCACGGGCUAACCAGACUUUCCCACCGACUACAUGAAAGGAGUGCAUGUUUGAGGCAUGUCAUCAGCACGAGGCCAAGGCUCAGAUCGAACCAUCACCGGGGACCCGCGGUGACCUGUAUCUACCAGCCGUUUUGUGAACACUGAUGGGAAGGCAGUGGUCGGUCACACACGCACUGUCAGCCAGCAAUGAUGGUGAGGAUGCAGCCAGGAAAGAAGCAGGGGAAGAAUCGUUGCGCUCCUCUUCCUCCCAGGUGGUCUGCCUCCGGGACAGAACCUAACAGGACGGUCUGGUAUGGAAGCCUGGAAACACAAUGCUUGGACUCUGAGCCCCGAUUGUAGGUUGGGGAGCACAGAAGGGUGGGAACGGGGCUGACACCAAACAGGUGUGACCACCCUGCCUCCCCUUCCACCUGCACCUCGUUUUUUCUCCUUAUUAACUUCUCCUUUGUUUUCCAGAUCAGAUUUUCCAGAGAGAACCAGCUAGAACCUAGA